GGGAAGCUGGCUCAGUGAUAGAGUGCUUGCCUUGCAUGCAUGAGGCCCUGGGUUCGAUUCCUUGGUACCACA
rfam:Dipodomys ordii contig_66748, whole genome shotgun sequence.